rnacentral:rRNA from 1 species
CGGGUGAGUAACGCGUGAGUAACCUGCCUCUCAGAGGGGAUAACGUUCUGAAAAGGACGCUAAUACCGCAUGACAUCCCGGGGCCGCAUGGUCCUGGGAUCAAAGGAGCAAUCCGCUGAGAGAUGGACUCGCGUCCGAUUAGCUAGUUGGUGAGAUAAAGGCCCACCAAGGCGACGAUCGGUAGCCGGACUGAGAGGUUGAACGGCCACAUUGGGACUGAGACACGGCCCAGACUCCUACGGGAGGCAGCAUG